GAAACAUCGUUUUUUCAACCACUCAGCUUCAUAUUCACUUGUGUGUUCGUCAGGCCAUGUAAUAGAGAUCUUUCAACACAAAGGAAAAGGAAGAAAUGUUAAUGCAGAUAAGAAGACAGGGAUACAGACAUUAGUCCAAUUCUGAUUAUUGGAUUCAAGUUUGGUUUGAGAGUUCACUCUAAGAUGAAGAUUAUUUUACAUUGCAAAUUUGCUAAUAAAGCAGGUAUUUUUGUUAUGGAUUAAGGUCACAAUUGUUUUACAAUUUGUUUUUCAGAUUUUCAAGCCAUUUACUUAAAGACUAAAGAGAAGAAAAAGUGUAAUUAAAUUUGCAAGAAAUGUC